UUGCCCCCUGAAAGAGGAAGUGAUACUUUGAAGGGGCCGACAUGGAGAGAGACUGGGUUAAUGCAGAAACAACAAAGGAAGCAUGAUGCAAUCAUGCAAAAUUGCUUCCUAUCUGGCUCGAUGAAAAGCCAGACUGAAGAAGGGCAAAGAGACAGCAGCAUCCAGAGACAAACCUCUAUGUCACACUGCAACAACAGGCCCUUGAAUGUCGUCAGACUGACAGAACAAAUGGAUCAGAAAGGAGAGAGACACCCAAAAUUGCAGCCCAACAUGUUCAACUGAUGCAAGCAGAAGGACUUGGUUUGGUCGUGGGGCUCCCUGUUUGCCGUGUUCAGGCUCCUCACCUCCGCUGGCGCGGGGUGAAUCAGCAGAAUCUCCGGCCGCUUGCUUGGACUACACUGGCUGCAAAAGCCCCGGAUCCAGUUAGGUUUGCCCUGGUGAAUGCUAGAUCGCUAGCAAACAAAACUUUUAUCUUGAAGGACUUCUUUGAGUCACGCGAUCUGGAUUUUCUCUGUGUAAUGGAAACGUGGAUUCCAGUGGGCAACUGCAAUGAAGCAAUCAAGAAAAAAACAUGAGCAGGCCAGCCACCCUGAGACUGAUAAUUCAGGGAACACAUUUCUGUCACUAAAAAAGUGGAUGAUAAAUGAUGGCCAAAGCA